AACAAGAUACUAAUAUAGAGAGCUUGCUUUCUAGAGACCGGCGUAUGGGUGAGUAACGCGUAUGCAACCUACCUUUUACAGGGGAAUAGCCCGGAGAAAUUCGGAUUAAUGCUCCAUGGUUUAUAGAUGUGGCAUCACAUUUAUAAUAAAGAUUUAUCGGUAAAAGAUGGGCAUGCGUAUCAUUAGCUAGUUGGUGUGGUAACGGCAUACCAAGGCGACGAUGAUUAGGGGUCCUGAGAGGGAGAUCCCCCACACUGGUACUGAGACACGGACCAGACUCCUACGGGAGGCAGCAGUGAGGAAUAUUGGUCAAUGGAGGCAACUCUGAACCAGCCAUGCCGCGUGCAGGAUGACGGUCCUAUGGAUUGUAAACUGCUUUUGUACGGGAAGAAAUGUAAUUACGUGUAAUUAUUUGACGGUACCGUAAGAAUAAGGAUCGGCUAACUCCGUGCCAGCAGCCGCGGUAAUACGGAGGAUCCGAGCGUUAUCCGGAAUUAUUGGGUUUAAAGGGUUCGUAGGCGGUUUAGUAAGUCAGUGGUGAAAUCUUGCAGCUUAACUGUAAAAUUGCCGUUGAUACUGCUAAACUUGAAUAGUAUGGAAGUAAUUAGAAUAUGUAGUGUAGCGGUGAAAUGCUUAGAUAUUACAUGGAAUACCAAUUGCGAAGGCAGAUUACUACGUACUUAUUGACGCUGAUGAACGAAAGCGUGGGUAGCGAACAGGAUUAGAUACCCUGGUAGUCCACGCCGUAACGAUGGAUACUAGCUGUUCGGUCUUCGGAUUGAGUGGCUAAGCGAAAGUGAUAAGUAUCCCACCUGGGGAGUACGUUCGCAAGAAUGAAACUCAAAGGAAUUGACGGGGGCCCGCACAAGCGGUGGAGCAUGUGGUUUAAUUCGAUGAUACGCGAGGAACCUUACCAAGGCUUAAAUGUAGAUUGANAGGUUUAGAGAUAGACUUUCCUUCGGGCAUUUACA
rnacentral:rRNA from 1 species